rnacentral:rRNA from 1 species
CCUACGGGAGGCAGCAGUGAGGAAUAUUGGUCAAUGGCCGUAAGGCUGAACCAGCCAAGUAGCGUGAGGGAAGACCGCACUAUGGGUUGUAAACCUCUUUUAUCCGGGGACAAAGGUGUCCACGUGUGUAUGGUUGCAUGUACCGCAUGAAUAAGCACCGGCUAACUCCGUGCCAGCAGCCGCGGUAAUACGGAGGAUCCGGGCGUUAUCCGGAUUUAUUGGGUUUAAAGGGUGCGUAGGCGGUUGGUUAAGUUAGCGGUGAAAUUUCGUGGCUUAACUCGGGAACUGCCUCUAAAACUGGUGAUCUAGAGAGUAGAUGCGGUAGGCGGAAUGUAUGGUGUAGCGGUAAAAUGCUUAGAGAUCAUACAGAACACCGAGUGCGAAGGCAGCUUACCAAUCUAUAUCUGACGUUGAGGCACGAAAGCGUGGGGAGCAAACAGGAUUAGAUACCCUGGUAGUC